GUGGACCUUGGAAGCAGGAAACUCAAUCCGGGCAACACGCAGGUCGAUGGUUGGCGUCGACUUUAGGGCAGCUCAUGUGUGUAAGCCGGAUGUUUCCUCUUCAUCCUCUGAAGGCGCCUCUGUGGCUCUCUGUGAAGUGGGGGGCGCUCCUGUUGCCACGUGGAGGACGGACGAGAGAGGCACGCAGGUGUCCCAGGGGAUCCUGCAGCGACUGCUCCGAGGCACAGGGCUUGUACUCUCGGCCCUCACGAGGACACGGCCGUCUCAGCUUGAGAGCUCGGCUGGGGAGAGAGUGUCCUGUCCUGUCGGCAGCUCAUGCCUUCUGCUGCAUCCUGGAGAAGAAAGGACCGAGACAACUUGUGAGAACCGAAGUCUCAAAUAGGAACUCACAGGAGACACCUGCUUUCUGCAGCAGGGUAGAAGUGGUCAGGCCCAGAUGAUCGGAAACAUCUUGGAAAUGAGGCUUCGGAGCUCUCGGAGGCGAUCCCUGUGGCAUCUUGAAGAAUGAGAGAAGGUCUCGGGAGAAAAGAGGUGGACAGGUGUCCCGGCACUCAAGGUGGGAGCAAGGGUCACAGUAAAGCCACCGGUCCUCACUGCAUCUAGGGAGAUAUACAUAGCUAGACGGCUAUGUAUAUGGUGCCAGAAGAAGAGAAAAUUCAACUUUAAAAUAAAAUGUGAGCUCUGUAAGAAUGUGGAACCUUCCCAGUUAUGAACUGUUUGUGAAACCAAACCCAGAAGCAUGCAAAGUCCCUCUGCAAAUCUGCACGAUUAGACCAGAUCUUCCUCCAGGACAGCCGUAACGGAACGGGAGCCUCCUGCGCUCCCGCCUCAAGCAAGGUGCCCUACCACGUGGAGUCCGUGCCGCCUCGGACC